CCUACGGGAGGCAGCAGUGGGGAAUAUUGCACAAUGGGGGAAACCCUGAUGCAGCGACGCCGCGUGAGUGAGGAAGUCUUUCGGGAUGUAAAGCUCUAUCAGCAGGGAAGAAAAUUACGGUACCUGACUAAUAAGCCCCGGCUAACUACGUUCCAGCAGCCGCGGUCAUACGUAGGGGGCAAGCGUUAUCCGGAUUUCCUGGGUGUAAAGGGAGCGUAGACGGAAUAGCAAGUCUGAUGUGAAAACCCGGGGCCCAACUCCGGGAGUGCAUUGGAAACUGUUGAGCUAGAGUGUCGGAGAGGAAAGCGGAAUUCCUAGUGUAGCGGUGAAAUGCGUAGAUAUUAGGAGGAACACCAGUGGCGAAGGCGGCUUGCUGGACGAUGACUGACGUUGAGGCUCGAAAGCGUGGGGAGCAAACAGGAUUAGAUACCCGAGUAGUC
rnacentral:rRNA from 1 species